rnacentral:rRNA from 1 species
GUGGGGAAUCUUCCGCAAUGGGCGAAAGCCUGACGGAGCAACGCCGCGUGAGUGAAGACGGCCUUCGGGUUGUAAAGCUCUGUUAUAUGGGACGAACGUAUUUAUGGUCAAUACCCAUAGAUAGUGAUGGUACCGUAAGAGAAAGCCACGGCUAACUACGUGCCAGCAGCCGCGGUAAUACGUAGGUGGCAAGCGUUGUCCGGAAUUAUUGGGCGUAAAGGGCGCGCAGGCGGCCUGUCAAGUCUGUCUUAAAAGUGCGGGGCUCAACCCCGUGAUGGGACGGAAACUGGCAGGCUGGAGUGUCGGAGAGGAAAGCAGAAUUCCUAGUGUAGCGGUGAAAUGCGUAGAUAUUAGGAGGAAUACCAGUGGCGAAAGCGGCUUUCUGGACGACAACUGACGCUGAGGCGCGAAAGCCAGGGGAGCAAACGGGAUUAGAAACCCUGGUAGUCC